CACCAGCACACACACACACCAGCACACACACAUACACCAGCACACACACAUACACCAGCACACACACAUACACCAGCACACACAUACACCAACACACACAUACACCAGCACACACAUACACCAACACACACACCAGCACACACACAUACAGCAGCACACACACAUACCAGCACACACAUACACCAACACACACACACCAGCACACACAUACACCAACACACACAUACACCAGCACACACAUACACCACCACACACAUACACCAGCACACACACAUACACCAGCACACACACACACCAACACACACAUACACCAGCACACACAUACACCAGCACACACACACACCAACACACACAUACACCAGCACACACAUACACCAACACACACAUACACCAGCACACACAUACACCAACACACACAUACACCAGCACACACACAUACACCAGCACACACACACACACACACACACACACACACACACACACAAAAUACAGACAGACAGAAAGGAAGAAAGAAAGAAAGAAAGGAAGAAAGAAAGAAAGAAAGAAAGAAGAAAGAAAGAAAGUUCUGUAACUUCUGUCCUUUUUUGUCUUCGAUGACCUAAGGAACAUGAAGGUUUCAUAACCAGUGCUGGAAUCUCUUCGGGCCCAACUGUAACAUUUGGCUGUGUUCUGUCUCUUUGGGGGGGGGGGACAUGGGGCAUUGCUAUCAUCAGAGCCUGACCUAAGGUCCACAAUCCCAUGGCCCUGUGUACAGAAAAAAGAAAAAAAAAGAGGCCCUUCAGGCUCUCAACAAAUAUUGAUUCACCCGGAGCCCUGGCCACACCCGGAUGAGAGUUUACACUGGAAACAGCACCUGACAUCGUCCAGGCGAGUCAGCAAAGAGGAGAAAUUGAGCUCUUCUGUUGACGUCACCAGGUUGUAAAGCAGCUGGUUUCUUCUCAGCAUUUGCAAAACAUGUGAUAUUUGAUUGGUG
rnacentral:lncRNA from 1 species